rnacentral:rRNA from 1 species
AAUGAACGCUGGCGGCGUGCCUAACACAUGCAAGUCGUACGAGAAAGGGGCUUCGGCCCUGAGUAGAGUGGCGCACGGGUGAGUAACGCGUGGGUAAUCUGCCCUUGGAUUUGGGAUAACUCUGCGAAAGUGGAGCUAAUACCGGAUAGUCUGGCUUUUUAACGAAGUCGGUAAAGGAUGCCUCUGCAUAUGCAUUCGUCCGAGGAUGAGCCCGCGUCUCAUUAGCUAGUUGGUAGGGUAAUGGCCUACCAAGGCAACGAUGAGUAGCUGGUCUGAGAGGAUGAUCAGCCACACUGGAACUGAAACACGGUCCAGACUCCUACGGGUGGCUG